CAAUAACGAGUUUUUACCACAAGGUUCAUACACACUUUUGGGUGUAAAUGAAUUUCAAGUUUCUAGUGUGAAAGUUUAACGUUGACCUGCUUCGAGACAGAAAGAAAAUGUCGACUGUUUUCCAGCUUGGAGUUUUGCUUCUAUUUGUAGGAGCUGUGCAGUGUGAGGAUCGUCCCUUCGGCAUCAGAGGCCUCGAGGUUAAAUCUGCAGAAAGCAGACAAGGCACAGUUUUUUUGUAAUGUGUGCACAAAAAUUGUGAAUAAAGUCUUCGAAAUGAUUGGAGAUCAACUCUCAAAGGACAACAUCAAUGCAGCUCUUAACAAAGUGUGUGAUAAACUGAUAUUUAAAAAAAGGUGCAGGUCACUGGUUGACCAAUACAGAGAAAAGCUGGUUAGGAUCAUCUUGUCUGCCAAGCACCCCCACAAAGUCUGCAAACUUCUCCACCUGUGCAUAAUAUAUGAAAACUAGAUAAUUUCAUUCUUUGUGGUAAUUCUGUGUACUUUUAUUUUAAAAUGUCCAAACGCUUUGACAGCCUGAUCUCCUAGUCAACUGCUAUGAAAGUGACCAAAAACAUGUUAUUAAUAUAUAUUCCCAAGUCUGCAUUUCUGUUAUGAAUAAAUAAUAAUCAUUACUGGAAUUUGGAUCAAAACACUGAUAUAAAAUGUGAUUGUUUUGCAAUGAUUUGAUUUGUUUUGUUUGUUUUUUUUUUUUGUGCUAAUUUUUAUAUACAGUAUGUUUUCCCUUUAGUAAAAGAAACUGUGUAUUUUAUUAAAACAUUGUUGUAACACUUCAAUCUGAAUAAACAUGUUCAUUAACUAGUUUA